GCGUACCAGUUAAUAAUGUGGAUUUUUUUCAAUAGAUAGAGUUACACAUAUGUUGAUAUAUAUACGAUUUGACAUGUAUGCUACUUUGUUGUAUUGACAGAAAGCUUCAAAACUUCAAAUGUCAAAUUUGCUGAGGGAGA